rnacentral:rRNA from 1 species
GUUAAGACAGAUGUGAAAUCCCCGGGCUUAACCUGGGAACUGCAUUUGUGACUGGCGAGCUAGAGUAUGGCAGAGGGGGGUAGAAUUCCACGUGUAGCAGUGAAAUGCGUAGAGAUGUGGAGGAAUACCGAUGGCGAAGGCAGCCCCCUGGGCCAAUACUGACGCUCAUGCACGAAAGCGUGGGGAGCAAACAGGAUUAGAUACCCUGGUAGUCCACGCCCUAAACGAUGUCAACUAGUUGUUGGGGAUUCAUUUCCUUAGUAACGUAGCUAACGCGUGAAGUUGACCGCCUGGGGAGUACGGUCGCAAGAUUAAAACUCAAAGGAAUUGACGGGGACCCGCACAAGCGGUGGAUGAUGUGGAUUAAUUCGAUGCAACGCGAAAAACCUUACCUACCCUUGACAUGGUCGGAACCC